rnacentral:rRNA from 1 species
AGUCUGGUGCCAGCAGCCGCGGUAAUUCCAGCUCCAAUAGCGUAUAUUAAAGUUGUUGCAGUUAAAACGCUCGUAGUUGAAUCUUGGGUCGGACGGCAGCUGCGGGACAAUGUCUUUAGCGGAGGCCGCCGGCCAAUAUUUUUUCCGGAGUGGUCCGUGUGGCCUUUACUGGUUGUGCGGGGUCACUGCUCCGGACGUUUACUUUGAAAAAAUUAGAGUGUUCAAAGCAGGCGUUUUCGCUGUGAAUACAUUAGCAUGGAAUAAUGGAACAGGACUUUGGUCGUGUUUUGUUGGUUUUAAUGGCCGAAGUAAUGAUUAAUAGGGAUAGUUGGGGGCAUUCGUAUUUCGAUGUCAGAGGUGAAAUUCUUGGAUUUUCGAAAGACGAACUACUGCGAAAGCAUCUGCCAAGGAUGUUUUCAUUAAUCAAGAACGAAAGUUGGGGGAUCGAAGAUGAUCAGAUACCGUCGUAGUCUCAACCAUAAACUAUGCCGACCAGGGAUCGGGGGGUGUUAAUUGAUGACCCUCCCGGCACCUUUGGAGAAAUCAGAGUUUUUGGGUUCUGGGGGGAGUAUGGUCGCAAGGCUGAAACUUAAAGGAAUUGACGGAAGGGCACCACCAGGAGUGGAGCCUGCGGCUUAAUUUGACCCAACACGGGGAAACUCACCAGGUCCAGACAUAGUAAGGAUUGACAGAUUGAGAGCUCUUUCUUGAUUCUAUGGGUGGUGGUGCAUGGCCGUUCUUAGUUGGUGGAGUGAUUUGUCUGGUUGAUUCCGUUAACGAACGAGACCUCAGCCUGCUAAAUAGCUACGGUCUCUUUCGAGGCCGGCCAGCUUCUUAGAGGGACUAUUUGCGUCUAGUGAAUGGAAGUUUGAGGCGAUAACAGGUCUGUGAUGCCCUUAGAUGUCCUGGGCCGCACGCGCGCUACACUGAUGAAGUCAACGGGUGUAUAACCUUGCCCGAAAGGGUUGGGUAAUCCCUGAAAUUUCAUCGUGAUGGGGAUUGGCUAUUGUAAUUAUUAGUCAUGAACGAGGAAUUCCUAGUAAGCGUGAGUCAUCAGCUCGCGUUGAUUACGUCCCUGCCCUUUGUACACACCGCCCGUCGCUCCUACCGAUUGGAUGUUCCGGUGAAAUCUUGGGAUUGCGCUUCAGUGGGGGCAACCCCGCCGAAAUGCGAGAACUUGCUUAAACCUUAACA